GGUUUCCCCUGACUUCAACCUGAUCAAGUAUAGUUCACCAUCUUUCGGGUCACAGCAUAUAUGCUCAAGGUACGCUCUUGUUAGAGGUAUAAAUAAUAUAAAUAUUAUUAUACAUAACUAUAGAACGCCCUGGGAUUGAAUAAUUAAAUUUAUAAUUUAAAAAUUAAUCCCAUUAAAUAGUUAUGUUAAUUAUGCUUUUGGGUUUUAUAAAUAAAAUCCCAAAAACUUGCACAUAUGUUAGACUCCUUGGUCCGUGUUUCAAGACGGGUCCCGAAGGUAUCCUGAAUCUUUCGCAUUGUAAAUCGUAUAAAUGCUUAUAAUAUAUAAAUAUAUUAUAAAAUUUCAUAAAUGAAAUUAUAUGCAUUAUACAUAUGAUUAAAUCUAUUAAUACUUUAUCAAAUUAAUAGAAAUUAUUUUGAUAAUAAAUUCGAAAAAAUAUUAUACAAAAUAAACAUAAAACUAUUAAUCUUAUGAUAAAUAAAUUAUAUAUUAAUAGAUUACAAUGUCCAUUUAUAUAAAGAAAAUGCACACUAUCUUAAUAAUAAAAAUUACUAAUAUAAUGAUGAAUUCUUUAUAUUGGAUAUUCAGGUUCAUCGGGUUUAACCUCUAAGCAGUUUCACGUACUAUUUAACUCUCUAUUCAGAGUUCUUUUCAACUUUCCCUCACGGUACUUGUUUACUAUCGGUCUCAUGGUUAUAUUUAGUUUUAGAUGGAGUUUACCACCCACUUAGUGCUGCACUAUCAAGCAACACGACUCUUUGGAAAUAUCUUCUAAUAAUCAUUAAUGUUAUACGGGCCUGGCACCCUCUAUGGGUAAAUGGCCUCAUUUAAGAAGGACUUAAAUCAUUAAUUUAUCAUACUAGAAUUUAGAUAUUCCA
rnacentral:rRNA from 1 species